GUUUUAUUGAUCUUUGAUGUUAUUUGAUCAAUUACAAUCUACAAAAAAUAUACCACAGAAUAAAAAAACCUUACAAGUAACAUCAGCCUUUUGAAAGCUUAUCUACUUGAAAGAUUUUUUCAUUCUGCUGUAUUUACAAACCAAAAAGUUGGAAAAGAUGGUUGGAAAUAAAAAAUACCCCUGAUGAGGUCUUUAACAAUGUUUGCACCCAAUGGAAGUUGAGCACAAACACUUUAAAUCCCUCCAAAGGAUAUUUUUUAUUUGAGUGAAUAACUUCAGCAGCAGAUGUUAUGCCAAACCUGUGGCCUGGACAUCUUUAAAAAAUUAGAUUUUUUAAAGAUAGCAAGACUACAGCUUCAUAGCUAGCGAGAAAGUACAAUCUCAGAAGGUGUUUCAUGGAAAAAUCCGAAGAUUUUUCCAUGAAACGAGCCUUCAUCAAUUGCACUUCACAGGACUAGUUACAAAAUAAUUUAAACAAUUUAAUCAACUUCCUCGAUGGUUGGUCCUUGUUGUCCAUGGCCACCAAAGCCUCCUGCUUGUUGUCCGCAGCUACCUCCAGGCAUGCCACCUGCGCCAGGCAUGCCUCCACCAUACUGGUUGUUGUUCUGUCCACCGCCAUACAGCUUAGCCAUGAUAGGACUGCAGAUUCUGGUGAGUUCUUUUUCUUUGUCUUCAAAUUCUUCUUUUUCAGCCAAAUUAUUGCUAUCCAGCCAUCUUAGGCAAGAUUCACAUUCUCUCUCAAUGGUGGCUUUGUCAUCGGAUGAAAGUUUGUCUCCACAGUCCUGUGCAGCCUGUUUGAGUUGGAAGAUGUAGGCCUCAAGCUUGUUCUUUGCUGCAAUUCUCAUACGUUGUUUCUCAUCUUCUUCUUUGUACCUUUCGGCUUCUUCCACCAUUCUGUCGAUGUCUUUCUGAGAGAGUCGGCCUUUGUCAUUCUUGAUUGUGAUGUUUCUAGAGUUACCCGAGCUGGUAUCUUUGGCAGAGACGUUCAGAAUGCCGUUGGCAUCAAGAUCAAAUGUGACUUCAAUCUUGGGUACGCCGCGAGGUGCUGGAGGAAUGCCAGUUAGGUCAAAGGUGCCCAGUAGGUUGUUGUCCUUGGUCAUAGCUCUCUCACCUUCAUACACUUGGAUGGUGACUGCAGGUUGGUUGUCUGCAUAUGUUGUGAAGGUCUGCGUCUGCUUGCAGGGAAUUCUGCUGUUACGCUCGAUGAUCUUUGUCAUUACACCACCAGCAGUUUCAAUACCCAAUGACAGUGGGGCGACGUCCACCAGCAAUACAUCCUGGAUCUUUGAGUCAGUACUACCAGUGAGGACAGCCGCUUGAACAGCUGCACCAUAGGCAACAGCUUCAUCU
rnacentral:misc_RNA from 1 species